UUUUGUGAUCAAGUUACAAAGGGCGUACGGAGGAUGGCUUGGUACAGAUAGGCGAUGAAGGACGUGGUAAGCUGCGAUAAGCUGCGGUGAGUUGCAAACAUACGUUGACCCGCAGGUGUCCGAAUGGGGGAACCCAUCCCGCGUUAUGGCGGGAUACCUCAAUGUGAAUAUAUAGCAUUGUAGGAGCGAAACCAGGAGAACUGAAACAUCUAAGUAUCCUGAGGAAAAGAAAGCAAUUGCGAUUUCCUAAGUAGCGGCGAGCGAACGGGAAAUAGCCCAAACUGAGUAUGUGUAAGCCUGUAUGCGUUGCAUAUUCAGGGUUGUAGGAUUUAAUCUGGCUAAUAUACAGAUCAGCCGCCUGAUGUAUUUUUAUAGAUGAAUAAGUUGGGAAACUUAACCAUAGAAGGUGAGAGUCCUGUAAUUUAAAUAAAGAUAUUUUGGGUGGAUUAAAUUCCUGAGUACUACGGGACACGUGGAACCCCGUAGGAAUCUGCCUCGACCACGAGGCAAGGCUAAAUACUAAUCUGUGACCGAUAGUGAACAAGUACCGUGAGGGAAAGCUGAAAAGAACGCCGGUGAGGCGAGUGAAAUAGUACCUGAAACCGUAACGCCUACAAACUGUAGAAGGCCUAUGUUUACCAUAUCUUAUGGUAAAAAUGGCUAACUGCGUACCUUUUGCAUAAUGGUCCGGCGAGUUGUUGUAUAAUGCAAGCUUAAUUCGUUUAAACGAAGAAGGCGUAGCGAAAGCGAGUCUUAAAAGGGCGAUUUAGUAUUAUGUAACAGACCCGAAACUGAGUGAUCUACCCAUGGCCAGGAUGAAGGUCGUUUAAUCGCGACUGGAGGUCCGAACCUUUCUGCGUUGAAAAGCGGAGGGAUGAGCUGUGGGUCGGAGUGAAAGGCUAAUCAAACUCAGAGAUAGCUGGUUCUCCCCGAAAUAGCUUUAGGGCUAGC
rnacentral:rRNA from 1 species